AAAUUGAAGAGUUUGAUCAUGGCUCAGAUUGAACGCUGGCGGCAGGCCUAACACAUGCAAGUCGAACGGUAACAGGAAGAAGCUUGCUUCUUUGCUGACGAGUGGCGGACGGGUGAGUAAUGUCUGGGAAACUGCCUGAUGGAGGGGGAUAACUACUGGAAACGGUAGCUAAUACCGCAUAACGUCGCAAGACCAAAGAGGGGGACCUUAGGGCCUCUUGCCAUCGGAUGUGCCCAGAUGGGAUUAGCUAGUAGGUGGGGUAACGGCUCACCUAGGCGACGAUCCCUAGCUGGUCUGAGAGGAUGGCCAGCCACACUGGAACUGAGACACGGUCCAGACUCCUACGGGAGGCAGCAGUGGGGAAUAUUGCACAAUGGGCGCAAGCCUGAUGCAGCCAUGCCGCGUGUAUGAAGAAGG
rnacentral:rRNA from 1 species